CCACGCUUUCUGUCAAAGAGAAGGGAGUUCAGUAGAAAAGAAUAAACAGACGCUGAAGAGCAGCUGCUGAAGUCCAGAAUGAUGGAUAAGAGCUCACAGGAGUAAAAAUGAGUUCCCAGGUACCAGGUUGCUUGGAUUAUAUCCCAUAUCUGGAGAGAACUUUGGCCUGAGAUCUGAUCCACCAUCUGCUUUCUUAGAGGAGUUACAGGAAGAUGGAAAACAAACGAUCCCUGCUUUUGAAAUGAGGUGGUACGUGGCUGGGCAGAAGGAAAGCUAAGGAGGCCCGGGUUGUUGGGAGUUCCCAGCAGGGGUUCAAGGUGGAAUCCGGAAGCCAGGCCUCAUCGUCAGAGAAGACCUAGACUGAGCCAGCUCUGAGGAUGCUUUGAACAUCAACAUCUGCCAUCAGCUUCUGUCCUUGGCAGCUUUCAGAGACACAAGACUGAAAUAUAGCUUUCAGCUGAGUUAACAACCAUUGCUCAGAAUAAACGCUGCCUAUAUAUUGCAUUAGAGAGAAGAAAAAUGCUUGACCUACUUGGAUCCGAUAAGAUGGAAUCAGUUUUCGGCAGAAAUUGAUCACAACGGACUCCUUGGUAGCCUUCUUUGCACCUGAGAAAAGGGGAUAAAUGACAAACAUACGCAUGUGGUUGUGAAAGACUUAAGAUUUCAACAAGUAAAAUAGCCAUCAAUUACAUAAAUGUGAGAACAGUACAUUCAUGCUUUCAUAUUUUUUGAUUCAGUCUGUUUCUGACCUCAACAGGCAGAUUCUCAAUUCUAUUUCUUUGCCAAAAAGGGAGAAAGCCAACAAUGUAGCUUUGCUUUUAUAGUUUGAUAUGCAAUAUCUAAGGAGCAAAUUGAAUCGCAUUUUAAGAUACCUCACAGCAAUCUAAAUAAUGGUUCUUAAAAUUAUAAUUCUGGAUGCAGGUGUAUUUUUCUUUAUGCAACACACUGGUCUCUAAAAGGCAUUUAGAAACAUAUUCCAAGUGCCAUUUUCUUAUAAAAGAUAUUUUGAAAUAUAAUGGAUCUAUUAUUGAUUUUGGCUACCACUAAUUUGGUUUCCAUGUGUUUUAUUAGCUUGUUCACUGUUAGUCCUACUUUUUUUUUUUUAACCUCUUAGUUAUUCUUCCAAGUCAGUGUCACCUCACCACUUUGCCAGAAAUAACAGCAUUUUAUCCGGCAAGGUCUGAAAGGCAUCUCUAAACUCAGAUUUUUUCUCUCUCUAUUUUUCUCUUUUAUAUUCAGUAAACAAGUGCAAAGUGUCUACUUUCUGCCAGGCAUUGUACAAGCCAACUGUCCUGAGGCGGGCACAAUUUGGAGGCAAGGAAUUUGCCUGGAAGCACCAAAAAGGAGGCAUGCCCCCGCCGCCCUGCCAGGCCCCUGUCGGGUCUUCACAUAGCUCGCUCAAUCAGGGCUGCUUGGCCACCUCGGACAGCAGUGGCUCAUCAGACAGUGAUUCCAGGAACAAAUACGGCGAGGCCCCAGACGCCUGGCUCUGAACAGCCUUGUUAAGUGGGGAGGUGGCAUUUACUGGUCUGCUCGAAGCUUAAUCUGUCAUGCUCGAGUUCAGCAGGGAAGCAUCCAUUGUUGCUUAAAGGAUGAAUCUGUCCUACUUAAGAGGAGGAAAUAGUGCUGCUGGCAUUAAAAAAAAUCAGAUUUAAAAAACAAUUCUCUGCUUGUUAGAAAUCUAUGAAAUUGACAAAAGAAUUCAAAGAGGCCGUUCUGUCAAGAGACAGGAACCAUGCGUCGUGAGUUCUUUCCUUAAAAUAUGCUUUGUUUUCUGAGUGUAAUAAGCUAUUAAAUAAGGUCUAUUGCAAGGGGAGAAGCAACAUUGAAAUGCAUCUAGGUAAUUUUUCUAUCUUUCAUUGUGAGCCAAAUUGGAAUUCAGGUAAUCGGGCAGGCUCUCUUCAACACCUUUUUAAGCCUGGCACUCUAGAGUGGAUUUGGCAAUUUUCCUUGUAGACUGAGAACACAGACCUCCAAUAUAUGGAUAUUCCAGAUAUCCAACAUGUUACUGAAAUGAUUUUUUUAAAGCAUAAACACAUUUUCAUAACCUUUUAAAAAUUCAUAUAUUUUACUUGAAAUAAAGUAGGCAUAUCACAGUAAGAGUCAGAAAAUACUUUGUGUACUUUGUACUGAGUCAUAUUUGUCAUAAAAAAAUAAAUUCUUGUUUUCUGAAAGCUGCCCUAAUGUAAUUAGCUUGUUCUUAUUCAGAAUUAUCGUACCAUGGUGCUUUCAUUUUCAUUUCCCAAUAAUAAUGAAUUACGUCCUACGUAUGUGCUAUUGUAUGCAUUCACUUUUUGAAGAUUUUAUUUCCAAUCUUUGUGAGAGAUUUUAAGUACACUUUACUCUUUGUAUCCUUAUUUAAUAUAAGAGGAAUAUCCUAAGGAGA
rnacentral:lncRNA from 1 species